GUAGGUGUUAAAAAGUGGAGAGAUAUGCUACAAACAGACGUUUACCGGGAGCGUCUCAUUGUUGUGGCUGUUUAUGAAGUGCACAACAUUGUUCUAUGUUGUUUAUUUAGAAGCUAUUCGAUUGCGGCUGGUUAUUUCAAUAACUGACUUGUUGCCAGGUGGCUCGUUAUUGUGGGGAGUCCGAAACGUGACGCUAGACGAAACAAACUGUGAGUGACUGUCUGACAUGUCCAAUAUUAUGAAGCUGCAGACUCGGAGCCUGCAGCUACAGACCCCCGCCCAGAGAACCGCAUUCUCAGAUCCCUCGUUUUUCGAUACAGCGAUCAAAUUAGAUCGGAAAAACAUUUGAAGAAACAUGGAUAUAACAAUUCAAACGGAGAAUUCACUUCCAGAAAUUCCAAAAUGUCACACAUGCUGCAGUGAUUUUCACUACCAUCAAAGUCGUUCCCCCUAAAGCGACGUGUGCCUGUCUACAUGGACAACAGGCCAUCAUUCAUGGCCUAUGUGAAAUGCAGGCAUUAUCCUGGCAGGAAGCUGAGCAAGAUUCCUCCGUGGCCCUUCUUGUCACUCUAGUGAAGUCGAGGAAUUUGACAGAGCAGUUUCCAAAAGACAGAAAAAGAAGGAAAAAAUCACCUACCAGAAACUAAUUAUUUUACCUUAUGCAUUUACAUUAUUUUACAUUUAUUCAUUUAGCAGACGCUUUUAUCCAAAGUGACUUAUAAAUAAGGAGUUCUUUUUAAUGCAAUUGAAGAUGAAAAGUAAAGUCACUAACACAAUUCUUUCUUCCUUUUUUCUUUGCUUUCUCCUGUUUACAGCAAGAUGGUGUUUAGGUGUUUGUUCAAUAAAGUACAUAAUUGUUUAU